UGCAUGUCACAUCCCCUGGUAAGAUAAAACAUCCGAUGUAUGCCACUCAGUAUCUACCGCAUGGGGUUAUCCUAUAACUGGGUGGCGUGUCAUGCUCCACAUAUCUUAAUUCGCAUAAUAAGCCCUGUUGGUAUCUAAAUCCCUUAGAUGUGCGUGAGUAUAAUGUCCUACUACACCAAUGCUCAUGGCUUAGCCGCUAGAUCGUAUCUAAAAGAAGGGCAUUGUUGAUGCAUGCCUU
rnacentral:lncRNA from 1 species